rnacentral:rRNA from 1 species
AUUGAACGCUGGCGGCAGGCUUAACACAUGCAAGUCGAGCGGAGAUGAGGUGCUUGCACCUUAUCUUAGCGGCGGACGGGUGAGUAAUGCUCAGGAAUCUGCCUAUUAGUGGGGGACAACAUUCCGAAAGGAAUGCUAAUACCGCAUACGUCCUACGGGAGAAAGCAGGGGAUCUUCGGACCUUGCGCUAAUAGAUGAGCCUAAGUCGGAUUAGCUAGUUGGUGGGGUAAAGGCCUACCAAGGCGACGAUCUGUAGCGGGUCUGAGAGGAUGAUCCGCCACACUGGGACUGAGACACGGCCCAGACUGCUACGGGAGGCAGCGGUGGGGAAUAUUGGACAAUGGGGGGAACCCUGAUACAGCCAUGCCGCGUGUGUGAAGAAGGCCUUAUGGUUGUAAAGCACUUUAAGCGAGGAGGAGGCUACUGAGACUAAUACUCUUGGAUAGUGGACGUUACUCGCAGAAUAAGCACCGGCUAACUCUGGGCCAGCCGCCGCCGUAAAAC